UCUCUUACAAUCCAUCUAUCACGCCAAAUUCUAACAUUUUGGCCAUUUGUGAUCAUCCACACUAUCCCUUUCUUUAGCAAUUCAAGGCCAUGACAUAUUGCCUGCCAAGUAGGAGACGGGUUACCCGUACAAACAGUAUCUUCCAACCUCCCAUUUAGAUAAUAUUUUGCUUUCAGUAGUCGGGCACGGAGACUGUCGGGGCAAGGUAGGAGACACCACGCUUGGCGUUCUAACCAAGCUUGGUUUCUGAAGCCCAAACCACCUUGGCAACAUUUUUGUUCUUCCAUGAUCUUUCUUCUCUCCUCCAAGCAGGUCGGGUCUGCACGAAUUCCUUGCAAAUUGAAGCUGGCAAGAACACCUGCACUCCCAUCAGGCAUGACUCAGGUCUUCAGAGCCAAAGCUGAAGCCACCAGACUGGCAUGAAAGUAUGAAACACAAACCAAGCAGCAACAGCUGCUCCAAUUGUUAAUUCCACAGCUCACAUGAUUGAUUCGCCUCGCCCAGAUUGUUUAAUCAAGCACUCUCUGACAACAACAGGGAACAAUUGAUGGAUGGAUGGACAAAUAUCAUCCAUAUGUA